rnacentral:rRNA from 1 species
UACGAAGGGUGCAAGCGUUAUUCGGAAUCAUUGGGCGUAAGCGCGCGCAGGCGGUUUCUUAAGUCUGAUGUGAAAGCCCACGGCUCAACCGUGGAGGGUCAUUGGAAACUGGGGAACUUGAGUGCAGAAGAGAAAAGCGGAAUUCCACGGUGUAGCGGUGAAAUGCGUAGAGAUGUGGAGGAACACCGGUGGCGAAGGCGGUCUUCUGGACGGUGACUGACGCUGAGGCGCGAAAGCGUGGGGAGCAAACGGG